rnacentral:rRNA from 1 species
CCUACGGGAGGCAGCAGUGAGGAAUAUUGGUCAAUGGGCUUACGCCUGAACCAGCCAAGUCGCGUGAGGGAAGACUGCCCUAUGGGUUGUAAACCUCUUUUGUCAGGGAGCAACGCCGGCUACGUGUAGCCGGACUGAGAGUACCUGAAGAAAAAGCAUCGGCUAACUCCGUGCCAGCAGCCGCGGUAAUACGGAGGAUGCGAGCGUUAUCCGGAUUUAUUGGGUUUAAAGGGUGCGUAGGCGGAAUGCCAAGUCAGCGGUAAAAUCGCGGGGCUCAACCUCGCUCCGCCGUUGAAACUGGCGUUCUUGAGUGGGCGAGAAGUAUGCGGAAUGCGUGGUGUAGCGGUGAAAUGCUUAGAUAUCACGAAGAACUCCGAUUGCGAAGGCAGUACACUGGACUGCAACUGACACUGAGGCUCGAAAGUGUGGGUAUCGAACAGGAUUAGAUACCCGAGUAGUC